CUCGAGGCCACCGCCUGCCCCCGUUCGCGGUUGGGCCAACUCUCUGGUUCCCCAGGGAAGGGAGAUCGGGGUGCUCUGAGGCCCCGCAGUGCAGCCCCCUGGUACACAGUUGUGUAUUUUUAGUUGUGAGUCCUUCUAGCUGUGGCAUGUGGGACGCUGCCUCAGCGUGGCCAGAUGAGCAGCACCGUGUCCAUGCCAAGGAUCCGAACCAGCAAAACCCUGGGCCACCAAAGUGGAGCGCCUGAACUUAGCCACUCAGCCAGGGGCCCAGCCCCGCUAUACAGUUUCCUCUUGAGCACGGGAGUGUUUGUUUUCCUUCUCCUGAGAUGUCUUAAUCAAGACCUAUCCAGUGAUCUUUCCUCUCGGUUGUUCCUGCCUGAGGGGAUGAUGGGAGCUGCAGCGCUGUGCCUGGGCUCUCCAGGUUGCUAGCCACCAGCCAUGAGUGGCUUUCGAGCACUUGAAAUGUAACUGGUCAGCGUUGAGAUGUGCUGUAUGUGUAAAAUACACUCAGAUUUCAAGAUUUCCUUACUAGGACAAAAGAAUGUAAGAUAGCCCUUUAAUAAUUCUUUUAUAUUGAUUAUGUGAUGAAAUGAUAUUUGGAAAUACUGGAUUAAAUAAAGUAUAUUAUUAAAAUUAAUUUUAUUUGUUUCAUUUUACUUUUUAAAAUAUGGCCACAAGAAAAUUUAAAAAUACGUGUAUGGCUUGCGUUAUGUUUUUAUUGGACAGUGCUCAGGUG
rnacentral:lncRNA from 1 species